AAAAUCGCCGCUUUCCCCGACAGCUGCGGGGUUGGGGCCGUUUCCUCUCAGGGGUGUGUGUUUCUGGUACACUCAAGGUCGCCUGUCAAGGAGUGUAGUUUUUUAAUAUAGUACCGGCUGUUGCCUUCAGGACAGUUCAGUAUGGGCUUUUUUGCUUGUUUUUUUUUUCUUUGUUUUCGCAUCAGUUCACCAAGCUCUUUGCACAGACGGCUGAAGUGAAUGUGAAAGUCAGGCUCAAUAAAUGAGGCACUCCGCAGAUUUCCUCUCUCUCUCCUGCCCAGCUGAUGAAAGGAAAAUCCUCCUCCCAUGCCUGAAAGACGUAGAUUUUAACCCUUCUGUAACAUAUAUGAUUCUCUGAAAGGGCCCUUCUUUGGCAGCAUCUGAAAUAGGCUACAAUGGUUUUAUGUGGGAAAUGUACUUGAAAACUAAGUUCCUUCGGGUUUUUUUUCCACAUUGCCUUGGUAAAUAAAUUAUUUUAACUCGA